rfam:Triticum aestivum genome assembly, contig: Triticum_aestivum_CS42_TGACv1_scaffold_641621_T_2AL-0.182605_3AL-0.154495
UUCAUACUUCCUCCGUUCCAAAUUACUCGUCGUGGUUUUAGUUCAAAAUUUGAACUAAAACUCGUCGUGAUUUUAGUUCAAAAUUUGAACUAAAACCACAACGAGUAAUUUGGAACGGAGGGAGUACAAC